GAGGGUAUAGCUCAAGUGGUAGAGCACAUGCUUAGCAUACACAAGGUCAUGCCUAGGUUCAAUCCCCAGUACCUCCU
rnacentral:tRNA from 1 species